rnacentral:rRNA from 1 species
AUACCCGCGCCCCUAGUGGUGGUCGAUAUUAUUGAGCCUAAAACGUCCGUAGCCGGUCUUUUAAAUCUUUGGGCAAAUCGGGCAGCUUAACUGUCCGACUUCCGAGGAGACUGGAAGACUUGGGACCGGGAGAGGUCAGAGGUACUUCUGGGGUAGGGGUAAAAUCCUGUAAUCCUGGAAGGACCACCGGUGGCGAAGGCGUCUGACUAGAACGGAUCCGACGGUGAGGGACGAAGCCCUGGGGCGCAAACGGGAUUAGAUACCCCGGUAGUCCAGGGUGUAAACGCUGCGGGCUUGGUGUUGGGGGUCCUUCGUGGGCGCCCAGUGCCGGAGAGAAGUUGUUAAGCCUGCUGCUUGGGGAGUAUGUCCGCAAGGAUGAA